AGCGAACGCUGGCGGCAGGCUUAACACAUGCAAGUCGAGCGGGCCCUUCGGGGUCAGCGGCAGACGGGUGAGUAACACGUGGGAACGUACCCUUUGGUUCGGAAUAACGCUGGGAAACUAGCGCUAAUACCGGAUACGCCCUUUUGGGGAAAGGCUUGCUGCCGAAGGAUCGGCCCGCGUCUGAUUAGCUAGUUGGUGGGGUAAUGGCCUACCAAGGCGACGAUCAGUAGCUGGUCUGAGAGGAUGAUCAGCCACACUGGGAGUGAGACACGGCCCAGACUCCGGCGGGAGGCAGCAGUGGGGAAUAUUGGACAAUGGGCGCAAGCCUGAUCCAGCCAGGCCGCGUGAGUGAUGAAGGCCUUAGGGUUGUAAAGCUCUUUUGUCCGGGACGAUAAUGACGGUACCGGAAGAAUGAGCCACGGCUAACUUCGUG
rnacentral:rRNA from 1 species